UACGAAGGGGGCGAGCGUUGUUCGGAAUUACUGGGCGUAAAGAGCUCGUAGGCGGUUUGUCGCGUCGUCCGUGAAAACUUGGGGCUCAACCCCAAGCUUGCGGGCGAUACGGGCAGACUUGAGUACUGCAGGGGAGACUGGAAUUCCUGGUGUAGCGGUGAAAUGCGCAGAUAUCAGGAGGAACACCGGUGGCGAAGGCGGGUCUCUGGGCAGUAACUGACGCUGAGGAGCGAAAGCGUGGGUAGCAAACAGG
rnacentral:rRNA from 1 species